rnacentral:rRNA from 1 species
AGUCGAGCGAAUCGAUGGGAGCUUGCUCCCUGAGAUUAGCGGCGGACGGGUGAGUAACACGUGGGCAACCUGCCUAUAAGACUGGGAUAACUUCGGGAAACCGGAGCUAAUACCGGAUACGUUCUUUUCUCGCAUGAGAGAAGAUGGAAAGACGGUUUCGGCUGUCACUUAUAGAUGGGCCCGCGGCGCAUUAGCUAGUUGGUGAGGUAAUGGCUCACCAAGGCGACGAUGCGUAGCCGACCUGAGAGGGUGAUCGGCCACACUGGGACUGAGACACGGCCCAGACUCCUACGGGAGGCAGCAGUAGGGAAUCUUCCGCAAUGGACGAAAGUCUGACGGAGCAACGCCGCGUGAACGAAGAAGGCCUUCGGGUCGUAAAGUUCUGUUGUUAGGGAAGAACAAGUACCAGAGUAACUGCUGGUACCUUGACGGUACCUAACCAGAAAGCCACGGCUAACUACGUGCCAGCAGCCGCGGUAAUACGUAGGUGGCAAGCGUUGUCCGGAAUUAUUGGGCGUAAAGCGCGCGCAGGUGGUUCUUUAAGUCUGAUGUGAAAGCCCCACGGCUAACCGUGGAGGGUCAUUGGAAACUGGGGAACUUGAGUGC